rnacentral:rRNA from 1 species
UCUGGUUGAUCCUGCCAGUAGUCAUAUGCUUGUCUCAAAGACUAAGCCAUGCAUGUCUAAGUAUAAGUAUUAUACAGCGAAACUGCGAAUGGCUCAUUAAAACAGUUAUAGUUUAUUUGGUGAUCAAAUUACAUGGAUAACCGUGGUAAUUCUAGAGCUAAUACAUGCGUAAAGGCCCGUUAGGGCCGUAUUUAUUAGAUAACAGACCAAUAAAGUGGUGACUCAUAGUAACUGAUCGAAUCGCAAGGCUAUGCCGCGAUAAAUCAUUCAAGUUUCUGCCCCAUCAGCUGUAGAUGGUAGUGUAUUGGACUACCAUGGCUUUCACGGGUAACGGAGGAUUAGGGUUCGAUUCCGGAGAGGGAGCCUGAGAAACGGCUACCACAUCUAAGGAAGGCAGCAGGCGCGUAAAUUACCCAAUACUGAUUCAGUGAGGUAGUGACAAGAAAUAGCGGGCCGGCUCAAUGCCGGGACUGAAAUGAAUAGAAUUUAACGACCUUUGCGAGGAACGAUUGGAGGGCAAGUCUGGUCCCCCGU